UGAUGCUUAGCGGCGGACGGGUGAGUAACACGUAGGUAACCUGCCUGUAAGACUGGGAUAACAUUCGGAAACGAAUGCUAAUACCGGAUACGCGAGUUGGUCGCAUGGCCGACUCGGGAAAGACGGAGCAAUCUGUCACUUACAGAUGGACCUGCGGCGCAUUAGCUAGUUGGUGAGGUAACGGCUCACCAAGGCGACGAUGCGUAGCCGACCUGAGAGGGUGAUCGGCCACACUGGGACUGAGACACGGCCCAGACUCCUACGGGAGGCAGCAGUAGGGAAUCUUCCGCAAUGGACGAAAGUCUGACGGAGCAACGCCGCGUGAGUGAUGAAGGUUUUCGGAUCGUAAAGCUCUGUUGCCAGGGAAGAACGCUUGGGAGAGUAACUGCUCCCAAGGUGACGGUACCUGAGAAGAAAGCCCCGGCUAACUACGUGCCAGCAGCCGCGGUAAUACGUAGGGGGCAAGCGUUGUCCGGAAUUAUUGGGCGUAAAGCGCGCGCAGGCGGUCAAUUAAGUCUGGUGUUUAAGGCUGGGGCUCAACCCCAGUUCGCACUGGAAACUGGUUGACUUGAGUGCAGAAGAGGAAAGUGGAAUUCCACGUGUAGCGGUGAAAUGCGUAG
rnacentral:rRNA from 1 species